AGGUGUUCAGUAUUGCUUUGGUCUAGUUAAGUCCGUUAGUGGUUUCCUGUCUGAGAUGAUCGGGGGGGACCUCCACACUUCGUGCUCGGUACGGGGACUGCUAUUCUGGUUCGCGUUAGUAGACUGGUGCGCCACUCUUUGACUAGCGGUUGCGUAGCUUACGUGAAUGUUUUGUCGUAGCAGAGGCCCAGGUAAAAGGAAGUGGUCCCCCGUGGACGAGUAGCUACUAAAUCGGGACGAGAGUAAAUGGCACUUAAAAUAUUCAGCGAAUGAGUUUAAGCUAAUCGAGGUGAUCAUCAGAAAAGCAUCCAGUGGUCUGUUUUGAGCCAAAUGUGGGGAAGCAUUAGGAGCUGAAGAUAUAUUUAUGAUGAAGCCCAGAUUAACAUUUGUCUGCCUAGCCCACGUGUCUCUUUUAUCAUGAACUGUUGAAA